GUUAGGAAUAUUGGACAAUGGGCGCAAGCCUGAUCCAGCCAUGCCGCGUGAGUGAUGAAGGCCUUCGGGUUGUAAAGCUCUUUAGGCGAUGAUUAUAAUGACUGUAGUCGGAAAAUAAGCCCCGGCUAACUUCGUGCCAGCAGCCGCGGUAAUACGAAGGGGGCGAGCGUUAUUCGGAAUCACUGGGCGUAAAGCGUGCGUAGGCGGCUUUGCAAGUUGGGAGUGAAAGCCCAGGGCUCAACCCUGGAAUUGCUCUCAAAACUGCAAGGCUCGAAUUCGGGAGAGGAUAGCGGAAUUGUCAGUGUAGCGGUGAAAUGCGUAGAUAUUGACAGGAACACCAGUGGCGUAAGCGGCUAUCUGGACCGAUAUUGACGCUGAGGCACGAAAGCGUGGGGAUCAAACAGGAUUAGAAACCCCAGUAGUCC
rnacentral:rRNA from 1 species